rnacentral:lncRNA from 1 species
CCAUAUUCCAAUAAAAUGAGAUAAUUUGUUUAUUGGAUAAUCUAUUCUUGGAUUAAACCCAUUCAGAAACGAGAAAAUUGAUGAACCGACAAGAAACAAGAAAAUUAGAGACGAAAAUAGUCAUGGUAGAGGAAGUAGAACUUUGGUCAAACGUUGAUGUUAUUGAUGGUGUCAUCUAGAUUGUCAUUGAUGAUUCAAUCUUGUUCUUGUUAUGUCUC